GGCUACUUAAAACCAUCGCGAACUCGUCCAAGUUGCUUCGGCGGCGCGGCCUCCCUCACGGGGGCGCCGCAGCCCCGCCUCUCCGGAGGUGUGGGGCGCCCGCCGGAGGUACGAAACUCUGUAUUAUAGUGGCAUCUCUGAGUAAAAAACAAAUAAGUUAAAACUUUCAACAACGGAUCUCUUGGUUCUGGCAUCGAUGAAGAACGCAGCGAAAUGCGAUAAGUAAUGUGAAUUGCAGAAUUCAGUGAAUCAUCGAAUCUUUGAACGCACAUUGCGCCCGCUAGUACUCUAGCGGGCAUGCCUGUUCGAGCGUCAUUUCAACCCUCAAGCCCUGCUUGGUGUUGGGGCCCUACGGCUGCCGUAGGCCCUGAAAGGAAGUGGCGGGCUCGCUACAACUCCGAGCGUAGUAAUUCAUUAUCUCGCUAGGGACGUUGCGGCGCGCUCCUGCCGUUAAAGACCAUCUUUAACUCAAGGUUGACCUCGGAUCAGGUAGGAAUACCCGCUGAACUUAAGCAUAUCAAAAGCCGGGAGGAA
rnacentral:rRNA from 1 species